GCCUAAUACAUGCAAGUCGAACGAACUCUGGUAUUGAUUGGUGCUUGCAUCAUGAUUUACAUUUGAGUGAGUGGCGAACUGGUGAGUAACACGUGGGAAACCUGCCCAGAAGCGGGGGAUAACACCUGGAAACAGAUGCUAAUACCGCAUAACAACUUGGACCGCAUGGUCCGAGUUUGAAAGAUGGCUUCGGCUAUCACUUUUGGAUGGUCCCGCGGCGUAUUAGCUAGAUGGUGGGGUAACGGCUCACCAUGGCAAUGAUACGUAGCCGACCUGAGAGGGUAAUCGGCCACAUUGGGACUGAGACACGGCCCAAACUCCUACGGGAGGCAGCAGUAGGGAAUCUUCCACAAUGGACGAAAGUCUGAUGGAGCAACGCCGCGUGAGUGAAGAAGGGUUUCGGCUCGUAAAACUCUGUUGUUAAAGAAGAACAUAUCUGAGAGUAACUGUUCAGGUAUUGACGGUAUUUAACCAGAAAGCCACGGCUAACUACGUGCCAGCAGCCGCGGUAAUACGUAGGUGGCAAGCGUUGUCCGGAUUUAUUGGGCGUAAAGCGAGCGCAGGCGGUUUUUUAAGUCUGAUGUGAAAGCCUUCGGCUCAACCGAAGAAGUGCAUCGGAAACUGGGAAACUUGAGUGCAGAAGAGGACAGUGGAACUCCAUGUGUAGCGGUGAAAUGCGUAGAUAUAUGGAAGAACACCAGUGGCGAAGGCGGCUGUCUGGUCUGUAACUGACGCUGAGGCUCGAAAGUAUGGGUAGCAAACAGGAUUAGAUACCCUGGUAGUCCAUACCGUAAACGAUGAAUGCUAAGUGUUGGAGGGUUUCCGCCCUUCAGUGCUGCAGCUAACGCAUUAAGCAUUCCGCCUGGGGAGUACGGCCGCAAGGCUGAAACUCAAAGGAAUUGACGGGGGCCCGCACAAGCGGUGGAGCAUGUGGUUUAAUUCGAAGCUACGCGAAGAACCUUACCAGGUCUUGACAUACUAUGCAAAUCUAAGAGAUUAGACGUUCCCUUCGGGGACAUGGAUACAGGUGGUGCAUGGUUGUCGUCAGCUCGUGUCGUGAGAUGUUGGGUUAAGUCCCGCAACGAGCGCAACCCUUAUUAUCAGUUGCCAGCAUUAAGUUGGGCACUCUGGUGAGACUGCCGGUGACAAACCGGAGGAAGGUGGGGAUGACGUCAAAUCAUCAUGCCCCUUAUGACCUGGGCUACACACGUGCUACAAUGGAUGGUACAACGAGUUGCGAACUCGCGAGAGUAAGCUAAUCUCUUAAAGCCAUUCUCAGUUCGGAUUGUAGGCUGCAACUCGCCUACAUGAAGUCGGAAUCGCUAGUAAUCGCGGAUCAGCAUGCCGCGGUGAAUACGUUCCCGGGCCUUGUACACACCGCCCGUCACACCAUGAGAGUUUGUAACACCCAAAGUCGGUGGGGUAACCUUUUAGGAACCAGCCGCCUAAGGUG
rnacentral:rRNA from 1 species